GACGAACGCUGGCGGCGUGCUUAACACAUGCAAGUCGAACGGAAAGGCCCUGCCUUUGUGGGGUGCUCGAGUGGCGAACGGGUGAGUAACACGUGAGUAACCUGCCCUUGACUUUGGGAUAACUUCAGGAAACUGGGGCUAAUACCGGAUAGGAGCUCCUGCUGCAUGGUGGGGGUUGGAAAGUUUCGGCGGUUGGGGAUGGACUCGCGGCUUAUCAGCUUGUUGGUGGGGUAGUGGCUUGCCAAGGCUUUGACGGGUAGCCGGCCUGAGAGGGUGACCGGCCACAUGGGGACUGAGAUACGGCCCAGACGCCUACGGGAGGCAGCAGUGGGGAAUAUUGCACAAUGGGCGGAAGCCUGAUGCAGCAACGCCGCGUGCGGGAUGACGGCCUUCGGGUUGUAAACCGCUUUCGCCUGUGACGAAGCGUGAGUGACGGUAAUGGGUAAAGAAGCACCGGCUAACUACGUG
rnacentral:rRNA from 1 species